AUACGGAGGGGGUUAGCGUUGUUCGGAAUUACAGGGCGUAAAGCGUACGUAGGCGGACUGGAAAGUUGGGGGUGAAAUCCCGGGGCUCAACCCCGGAACUGCCUCCAAAACUUCCAAUCUAGAGAUCGAGAGAGGUGAGUGGAAUUCCAAGUGUAGAGGUGAAAUUCGUAGAUAUUUGGAGGAACACCAGUGGCGAAGGCGGCUCACUGGCUCGAUACUGACGCUGAGGUACGAAAGCGUGGGGAGCAAACAGGAUUAGAAACCCUAGUAGUCC
rnacentral:rRNA from 1 species